CCCCUAGUAACUGCGAGUGAAGCGGGAAAAGCUCAAAUUUAAAAUCUGGUGGUCUUUUCGGUCACCCGAGUUGUAGUCUGGAGAAGUGCUUUCCGCGCUGGACCGUGUACAAGUCUCUUGGAACAGAGCGUCGUAGAGGGUGAGAAUCCCGUCUUUGACACGGACUACCAGUGCUUUGUGAUGCGCUCUCAAAGAGUCGAGUUGUUUGGGAAUGCAGCUCAAAAUGGGUGGUAAAUUCCAUCUAAAGCUAAAUAUUGGCGAGAGACCGAUAGCGAACAAGUACCGUGAGGGAAAGAUGAAAAGCACUUUGGAAAGAGAGUUAAACAGUACGUGAAAUUGCUGAAAGGGAAACGCUUGAAGUCAGUCGCGUUGACUGGAACUCAGCCUUGCUUUUUUGCUUGGUGCAUUUUCUAGUUGACGGGCCAGCAUCGAUUUUGACUGCUGGAAAAAGGCUGGGGGAAUGUGGCACCUUCGGGUGUGUUAUAGCCCUCAGUCGCAUACAGUGGUUGGGAUCGAGGAUCGCAGCACGCCUUUAUGGCCGGGGUUCGCCCACGUUCGUGCUUAGGAUGCUGGCAUAAUGGCUUUAAACGACCCGUCUUGAAACACGGACCAAGGAGUCUAACAUGCCUGCGAGUGUUUGGGUGGAAAACUCGAGCGCGCAAUGAAAGUGAAAGUUGAGAUCCCUGUCAUGGGGAGCAUCGACGCCCGGACUUGAACUUCGGUGAUGGAUCCGCGGUAGAGCAUGUAUGUUGGGACCCGAAAGAUGGUGAACUAUGCCUGAAUAGGGUGAAGCCAGAGGAAACUCUGGUGGAGGCUCGUAGCGAUUCUGACGUGCAAAUCGAUCGUCAAAUUUGGGUAUAGGGGCGAAAGACUAAUCGA
rnacentral:rRNA from 1 species